UGAAUACGAGACGCUAAGGCGUCGAAGUAGUGUAUGUCAUACUUCCAAGAAAAGCUUGCACUGUCAUAGAUAAAAAACGCCUGUACCAUAACCGACACAGGUGGGUAGGUAGAGUAUACUAAGGGGCGCGAGAUAACUCUCUCUAAGGAACUCGGCAAAAUAACUCCGUAACUUCGGGAGAAGGAGUGCCUUAUUCGUAAGGUUGCAAUAACAAGAUCCAAGCAACUGUUUAUCAAAAACACAGGUCUCCGCUAAGUCGUAAGACGAUGUAUGGGGGCUGACGCCUGCCCAGUGCCAGAAGGUUAAAGAAGUUCGUUAGCAAUUUCGAAGCUGAUAACUGAAGCCCUGGUGAACGGCGGCCGUAACGAUAACAGUCCUAAGGUAGCGAAAUUCCUUGUCGGGUAAGUUCCGACCCGCACGAAAGGCGUAAUGAUUUGGAUACUGUCUCGGAGAGGGGCUCGGUGAAAUAGACUUGUCUGUGAAGAUGCGGACUACCUGCACCAGGACAGAAAGACCCUUUGAAGCUUUACUGUAACUUGAAAUUGAAAUUGGACUUUAUUCGCGCAGUAUAGGUGGGAGGCGUUGAUUAUAAUCUUGUGGGAUUAUUGGAGCCAUCAGUGAGAUACCACUCUUGUAAUGUUAGAUUUCUAACUUUGAAUCAUUAUCUGGUCAAAGAACAGUUUCAGGCGGGCAGUUUGACUGGGGCGGUCGCCUCCUAAACGGUAACGGAGGCGUACAAAGGUUUCCUCUGAACGGUUAGAAAUCGUAUCUAGAGUGUAAAGGCAUAAGGAAGCUUGACUGUGAGACCUACAAGUCGAGCAGGGACGAAAGUCGGUCUUAGUGAUCUGACGGUACUGAGUGGAAAGGCCGUCACUCAACGGAUAAAAGUUACUCUAGGAUAACAGGCUGAUCUCCCCCAAGAGUUCACAUCGACGGGGAGGUUUGGCACCUGGAUGUCGGCUCAUCGCAUCCUGGGGCGGUAGUACGUCCCAAGGGUUGGGCUGUUCGCCCAUGAAAGCGGUACGCGAGCUGGGUUCAGAACGUCGUGAGACAGUUCGGUCCAUAUCCGGUGUAGGCGUUAGAAUAUUGAGAGGAGCCUUCUUUAGUACGAGAGGACCGAGAAGGACAUACCUCUGGUGUACCAGUUAUCGUGCCAACGGUAAACGCUGGUUAGCUAUGUAUGGAGUGGAUAACCGCUGAAAGCAUCUAAGUGGGAAGCCCACCUCAAGAUAAGUAUUCUCAUCUU
rnacentral:rRNA from 1 species